rnacentral:rRNA from 1 species
GCACAAGCGGUGGAGCAUGUGGUUUAAUUCGACGCAACGCGAAGAACCUUACCUGGGCUCGAAAUGUAGUGGACCGGGGUAGAAAUAUCCCUUCCUAGCAAUAGGCUGCUAUAUAGGUGCUGCAUGGCUGUCGUCAGCUCGUGUCGUGAGAUGUUGGGUUAAGUCCCGCAACGAGCGCAACCCUUAUUACCAGUUGCCAUCAUUUAGUUGGGCACUCUGGUGAGACCGCCUCGGAUAACGGGGAGGAAGGCGGGGAUGACGUCAAGUCCUCAUGGCCUUUAUGUCCAGGGCUACACACGUGCUACAAUGGCCGGUACAAACCGUCGCAAACCCGUGAGGGGGAGCUAAUCGGAAAAAGCCGGCCUCAGUUCGGAUUGGAGUCUGCAACUCGACUCCAUGAAGCUGGAAUCGCUAGUAAUCGCAGAUCAGAACGCUGCGGUGAAUACGUUCCCGGGC